GGUCAGGCAUUAGGGAUGGAGGUGUGGUCAGGCACUAGGGAUGGAGGUGUGGUCAGGCACUAGGGAUGGAGGUGUGGUCAGGCACUAGGGAUGGAGGUGUGGUCAGGCAUUAGGGAUGGAGGUGUGGUCAGGCACUAGGGAUGGAGGUGUGGUCAGGCACUAGGGAUGGAGGUGUGGUCAGGCACUAGGGAUGGAGGUGUGGUCAGGCAUUAGGGAUGGAGGUGUGGUCAGGCACUAGGGAUGGAGGUGUGGUCAGGCACUAGGGAUGGAGGUGUGGUCAGGCACUAGGGAUGGAGGUGUGGUCAGGCACUAGGGAUGGAGGUGUGGUCAGGCACUAGGGAUGGAGGUGUGGUCAGGUAUGAUGGAUGGAGGUGUGGUCAGGCACUAGGGAUGGAGGUGUGGUCAGGCACUAGGGAUGGAGGUGUGGUCGGGUAUUAUGGAUGGAGGUGUGGUCAGGUAUUAUGGAUGGAGGUGUGGUCAGGCAUUAGGGAUGGAGGUGUGGUCAGGCAUUAGGGAUGGAGGUGUGGUCAGGCAUUAGGGAUGGAGGUGUGGUCAGGCACUAGGGAUGGAGGUGUGGUCAGGCACUAGGGAUGGAGGUGUGGUCAGGCACUAGGGAUGGAGGUGUGGUCAGGCACUAGGGAUAGAGGUGUGGUCAGGCACUAGGGAUGGAGGUGUGGUCAGGCACUAGGGAUGGAGGUGUGGUCAGGUAUGAUGGAUGGAGGUGUGGUCAGGUAUUAUGGAUGGAGGUGUGGUCAGGUAUUAUGGAUGGAGGUGUGGUCAGGCAUUAGGGAUGGAGGUGUGGUCAGGCACUAGGGAUGGAGGUGUGGUCAGGCAUUAGGGAUGGAGGUGUGGUCAGGCACUAGGGAUGGAGGUGUGGUCAGGCACUAGGGAUGGAGGUGUGGUCAGGCACUAGGGAUGGAGGUGUGGUCAGGCACUAGGGAUGGAGGUGUGGUCAGGCACUAGGGAUAGAGGUGUGGUCAGGCACUAGGGAUAGAGGUGUGGUCAGGCACUAGGGAUAGAGGUGUGGUCAGGCACUAGGGAUGGAGGUGUGGUCAGGCACUAGGGAUGGAGGUGUGGUCAGGCACUAGGGAUGGAGGUGUGGUCAGGUAUGAUGGAUGGGGGUGUGGUCAGGCACUAGGGAUGGAGGUGUGGUCAGGCACUAGGGAUGGAGGUGUGGUCGGGUAUUAUGGAUGGAGGUGUGGUCAGGUAUUAUGGAUGGAGGUGUGGUCAGGUAUUAUGGAUGGAGGUGUGGUCAGGUAUUAUGGAUGGAGGUGUGGUCAGGUAUUAUGGAUGGAGGUGUGGUCAGGCAUUAUGGAUGGAGGUGUGGUCAGGCAUUAGGGAUGGAGGUGUGGUCAGGCAUUAGGGAUGGAGGUGUGGUCAGGCAUUAGGGAUGGAGGUGUGGUCAGGCACUAGGGAUGGAGGUGUGGUCAGGUAUUAUGGAUGGAGGUGUGGUCAGGUAUGAUGGAUGGAGGUGUGGUCAGGUAUUAUGGAUGGAGGUGUGGUCAGGUAUUAUGGAUGGAGGUGUGGUCAGGCAUUAGGGAUGGAGGUGUGGUCAGGCAUUAGGGAUGGAGGUGUGGUCAGGCACUAGGGAUGGAGGUGUGGUCAGGCAUUAGGGAUGGAGGUGUGGUCAGGCACUAGGGAUGGAGGUGUGGUCAGGCACUAGGGAUGGAGGUGUGGUCAGGCACUAGGGAUGGAGGUGUGGUCAGGCACUAGGGAUAGAGGUGUGGUCAGGCACUAGGGAUAGAGGUGUGGUCAGGCACUAGGGAUAGAGGUGUGGUCAGGCACUAGGGAUGGAGGUGUGGUCAGGCACUAGGGAUGGAGGUGUGGUCAGGCACUAGGGAUGGAGGUGUGGUCAGGCACUAGGGAUGGAGGUGUGGUCAGGUAUUAUGGAUGGAGGUGUGGUCAGGCACUAGGGAUGGAGGUGUGGUCAGGCACUAGGGAUGGAGGUGUGGUCAGGCACUAGGGAUGGAGGUGUGGUCAGGUAUUAUGGAUGGAGGUGUGGUCAGGCACUAGGGAUGGAGGUGUGGUCAGGUAUUAUGGAUGGAGGUGUGGUCAGGCACUAGGGAUGGAGGUGUGGUCAGGCAUUAGGGAUGGAGGUGUGGUCAGGCACUAGGGAUGGAGGUGUGGUCAGGCACUAGGGAUGGAGGUGUGGUCAGGCACUAGGGAUGGAGGUGUGGUCAGGCACUAGGGAUGGAGGUGUGGUCAGGCACUAGGGAUGGGUUCAGGUCAGAGGAGAUGUUGUCAUUGUUUGUGUGUGUAAGUAAGUGAUUGUUUGUAUCUGGAGUAAAACUUUAUUUUGUAUUUUUUUAAGUUGGUCAGGUAAGUGAAUAAAAAGGCAGGAUUUGGACAAAUCUCUUAGGAAGCAACAGCGAUAUUGCCCUCAUCAAAUAUGCAGACGACAUUGGCUCUGGUUGCUUGCCUGGAGGUCAAGUCCAUCUCCAGAUACUCCCAGUUCAUUGACUGCCUCUUGACGUGGUUUGACAGUAGCUUUCUUGACCUUAAUGUCGCCAAGACUAAAAAACUGUACCUUGGAGGAAAGAACGCUGGGAAAUGGAAUUCCAUGUCUGGAGCCUGUCACCAUGGAAGGACGUGGAGCAAGUCACACACAUUAAAUACUUGGGGACAAUUUUCGACCACAAACUUAGCUUCCAGUAAAACACUGACCUCCUCUACAAAAAGUCCAGGCAGCUUAUUUCCCUACUUAAGAAACAAUUAAGUUUUAAUGCAAGCAAACACGCUGAUCAUGGUGUACAA